AUUGUUUGGAAUGUGUAUUUAAAGAGUAAUAUCUUCUACACGACAAGAUAUAUGCCUGGGGUUCAGUUCAAGGAUUUAUUUAUUCUAUCAAUUUAAGAUGACUUGUGGUAGAGUUGUAUAAUGUGAAAAGGAUUGCAAAUGUAUCGAAGCUUUUCCCAGUACCACUCGUACUCAUAUUCUGAUUUAUGUAUUGUAUUUUCUUAAACAGGCCCAAUCAAUUUGGGCAUUGUCAUCUGAUUCUGAAACACAUGACAGUCCAGUGCGGGAAGCUGGUACAAGUAAAUCGCCAAAAGUGGAGCUUAAAGUGGAGGAGACAGUUGCAGUUAAUAAGAAGAAGACUACAAAUAAAGUUACCGAGAAAGUUAUAGGAAAUGAUUAUGAUCCAGCUGUUGCAGUGGAAGAGAUUACUGGAAAGCAUAACAAGUCUGAUAAAAAAGAUGAAGAGAGUUAUCGCCCAACUUAGUUGCAAUCACAUACGUACUAAUUUCUUCAAAAGACCAGUCAACAGGAAAUCUGAUAAGCUCUCUGUUGUGUGCGGUGCGGACUGAAUAUGUCGGGGGGCCGAAGUGCAAACGCCUUCCGAGAUAUUCUACAACGAUGAUGAAGCUCGCAAAUACACUCU